rnacentral:rRNA from 1 species
AAAUCUGAACCAGCCAAGUAGCAGUGCAGGAUGACGGCCCUCUGGGUUGUAAACUGCUUUUAGUUGGGAAUAAAAAGAGGGACGUGUCCCUUAUUGUAUGUACCUUCAGAAAAAGGACCGGCUAAUUCCGUGCCAGCAGCCGCGGUAAUACGGAAGGUCCAGGCGUUAUCCGGAUUUAUUGGGUUUAAAGGGAGCGUAGGCGGACAUGUUAAGUCAGCGGUUAAAUAGUGUGGCUCAACCAUACCUUGCCGUUGAAACUGGUAGUCUUGAGUGCACACAGGGAUGCUUGGAACUCCGUGGUCGUAGCCGGUGAAAUGCUUAGAUAUCACCGAUGAACUCCGAUCGCGAAGGCAGGUGUCCGGGGUGCAACUGACGCUGAGGCUCGAAAGUGUGGGUAUCAAACAGGAUUAGAU